ensembl:snRNA U6 U6 spliceosomal RNA
GUGCUUGCUUAGGCAGCACAUAUAGUAAUAUUGGAGCAAUACAGCAUAGCUCCUGUGCAAAGAUGACAUGCAAAUUCGUGAAACAUUCCAUUUUUUA